UACGAAGGGGGCUAGCGUUGCUCGGAAUCACUGGGCGUAAAGGGUGCGUAGGCGGGUCUUUCAGUCAGGGGUGAAAUCCUGGAGCUCAACUCCAGAACUGCCUUUGAUACUGAAGAUCUCGAGUCCGGGAGAGGUGAGUGGAACUGCGAGUGUAGAGGUGAAAUUCGUAGAUAUUCGCAAGAACACCAGUGGCGAAGGCGGCUCACUGGCCCGGUACUGACGCUGAGGUGCGAAAGCGUGGGGAGCAAACAGG
rnacentral:rRNA from 1 species